CCAGAGCUUGGCAUCAUGCCCCCGCCGGGAUUGCAGGCCUGAGGAUCCGGCUGUUCAACUUCUCCCUGAAGCUGCUCACCUGCCUGCUCUACAUUGUGCGCGUCCUGCUCGACGACCCGGCCCUGGGCAUCGGAUGGUCAGAAGAGGGCAGAACCCACUAGGAGAGUUUGAGAAGGAGAACUGGGCCCUGACUGACUCUCAAGCUACUUUCCUAGGUCACUCCCCACCCCAAGUCCCAGGGUCCCCUGGGGCUUCUGGUUUCACAUCCCCACAGGGCCCAAGUCUGUUGUGUUCACUGCCCGUCCCCUAGCACAGCGUCCAGGACACAGAUGGGGGUGGGAAGAUGGGUGGAUGAUGGAUGGAUGGUUGGAUGGAUGGUGGAUGAUGG
rnacentral:lncRNA from 1 species